rnacentral:lncRNA from 1 species
GGACCAUUUAUGAAGUUUUAUCUUAUUUAUUUAUUUUAAAAAAGAAAAAAAUGCAAGGUCUCUCUCUCCCUCUCUCUCUCUCUCUCUCUCUCUCUCUCUCUCUCUCUCUCUCUCUCAAGUCCAGACGCACAAUUGAUUCCUUCACAAAAAACAGUAAUUCACUACCUACAACUAAUGAUUCUUUAUCUGCGUGAUUGAAUCAUUCAUCAAAAGGGAUUUUGAGGAGCUUCAUCCAUUUCUUUCUUGUUGGAUCAAAUCCUUCCCAACCUUUGGGAUCAUAAACCAUGUAUACCGAAUGCUCUAUUAUCCCUAAUUGUUUCCUUAAAUCCAUUUCUCUCUUUCUCUCGCUCUCUCUCUCUCUCUCUCUCUCUCGAUCAACCUUGCUCAAUCUCGUGUCAAUGAAACCCUCCUCCGCAUCAACGCCAUUGUAGAGAAGUCCAAUUGCAUUGACGGCGUUCUGAAGGCACUAGAGAACGAAGAAUUCGAGUCCGCCGCUAAUUACCUCCAAAAUUGUCUUCAAAUCGACGCAAAAUAGAAGGAUUACGGUUCAGAUAAGAGGGAACAACUCAUUGCUUCCAAGAAGCAACUUGAAUCAAUUGUCAGGAGAAGACUAUCGGCGGUCAUCGACCAGAGAGACCACCAAAUCCUCCUUCGUUUCAUCAGACUUUAUAACCCCAUCUCUCUCUCUCUCUAUAGGAAGAAGGAUUGCAGGUGCACGCUAGUUACUUAAAGAAGGUGAUAUCCUUGAGAUCUAAACUUGAAUUUGAGCAUUGAGUGGAACUCAUGGACCAGAAACAGAGCCAGGUAAAUUUCGUUGCCUAUUUAACCAAUUAUUUAAAGACAGCGUGCUAGCAAUCGAAGAGAAUGAAGGGAUAUUGAGAAGUCUGUGUAGAGAAGAUGGCAUUAUCAAUGCAAUUUGCGAGCUCCAAGAAAAGUGUGAUUCUAGGGGUUCUCUAAUCUUAAAAUGGAUAUAUUAUUUUAUUGAUCAGUUUUUUUUUUGGAUUUAUCCAAUAUGAAUGACAAUGUAUUUGCUAGAAUGAUGGGCAUCGAUAUGAAUUAGGGCAGAUUAACAAAGUUGGGGGAUUUGUGAUUCGAAUAGUGGGUAAAGCUUUGAUUUCUUCCAUGUAAUGUAUUUCUGGAAAUUUAUUUCAAUUAGACCAGCAACCUGCAUCAAUGUAUGAAGUUGUUCGCUUGAUUGCAGCAAUACCUAUGUGUUUGAGUAGUCAUUUCUUAUGCUCUCUUUUUCUUCAACCAUAAAAGGUAAAAAAUCCUCUUCUUCCUUGAAUUGCAGAUUUCUUGAAGGUAAUGGUAGGAAGAAGACAAGGUUAGAGAGAGAUAGAGAGAUUUUUUUAUGGUGAAAAUUUCAAGAAAUUCUCUAAUUAUGAGAGAGAGAGAGAGAGAGAGAGAGAGAGAGAGAGAGACCUUGCAUCUUUUAUUUUCUUUAAAAAUAAAUAAAUAAGAUAAAACUUCAUAAAUGGUCGAUAUGAAAUGACAAAAAUGUCCUUGAGUUAACGGACAAAAGCUAACGGAGUUAGCAAAAAUGACAAUUUGUUAAAAGUUUUAAAACCACAAAGACCAUCUGUGAGGUUUUUAUAAAUUAGGGAUUAAACUUCUGAUUUUCGGAAACCACACAUACCAUUUUUGAAGUUUUGUUUUUCUUUUUGAAAAAAUAGCUUUUGUAUUUAAUAUCUAUAUAUUAAGCGUGAAUUUUUAAAGCAUCAAAAAACUCUACUGAGUUCGUAAGUUGUUUGAUUUGUUGGAAGGAAGUUAGGAUUCGAAAGCAUAUAUAUAUAN